UUUCUAGGUCUUUAGGGAUUUUACACUGCGUAUCUGGAAAAACAAGUCACCGUUUAAACACUAAGUCUACAGCUUGAAAGGCCUGGAAAGUAACAUUUUCUGUAGACGUCAGCUUCUCUCUGGUUUGAUGCCCCAUUCUUCUGCUGAUGCCACAUGCACUGCUGAUUAGUAUGGGGAAAUGGAAGAGGUCUCUUGAAAUAAGGUAGGUUUCUUUCUUUUCUACAAGGGCAUGGCUUGAUUAUCAUGUUCAUAAUUACUUUUCUAUUUAAAAUAAAUGAAGUCAAACA
rnacentral:lncRNA from 1 species